UGGCUUUUACGAGCUUCACCUCGACAACCCUGCGCCCACCUCCCCGUCGGGAGACAGACCGCGGCCACAUGAACGCCCUGAGCUCUGCGUGACCCUACCCUGUCGGAACAGGGAAACGUCUGCCAAACCUCGGCUAGAUGACUGGCGUGUCUGAGACCAGGAGGAGAAGCUUCCGGAACACAGCGUAACAAUUGAACGAUAGUACAGCGGGGCACGGCAGACAUGGGCUCCAGCCUCUCCCCCACACGCCCACACACCCCCGGCCUGGCCUGGGCCAGCAAGGCGUUUGCGGGCGGGCAGGGUUCUCAGGCCGGAAUGACCCCCGAGGAGGCUCCCAGACCCUUCACGAGGCCCCCCGCUUCGGAGGACAGAAGUGUGGGGACAGUUCUAAGCAAAGCUGCGGUGGCCUUUGUCCAAUAACACAGAGAGCUCUGGAUAUUUGAAAUCCAGCAAGAGAUUUCUUGGAGUAAGGGGUAUGGGCAGGGGGUGGGGGAUGAGACUUUCCUCGGUGACAGAAUUCAUUAAUGGGAUUAAUUAAUUAAUUGAAGAGCUCCUAAAUUACUGAUAUCCCUUCAGACAGAAAAUAUGUAGCUCAGGGGGAGGGCGUAUGGCCUACGAAAUAUUGCUCCCAAUUUCCUUUCUGAAAAUACACACAAACAAGAUAAACAUUCCCCUCACCCCCAUCAUAUCAGACCUUUAAAAAUCCCUCUCUGGUUAGAAAGGCCUUUUUUUUUUUUUUUUUUUUUUUUUUUUAAUCUUUAUUUUUGACAGAGAGAGAGACAGACA